UCUCUUGUCAGGGGGAUUAUUGUUUUUUUUUUUUUUUUUUUUUUUUUUUUUUUUUUUUUUUU
rnacentral:ribozyme from 1 species